AAGAACGCCCCGUUUUUUGAAAUGGGUAAUUCCCAAACCGUGUCUAUAUAUACCUUUGUUGCUUUGGCAGGUCGCCUUCUAGGCGUCGGCUCCGGCUGACUGCGCCUGCCAGAGGACCCCUUAAUUCCUUUAUAUUGCUGUCUGAGUAUUAUAUAAUAUUUA
rnacentral:misc_RNA from 1 species